UACAGAGGGGGCAAGCGUUGUUCGGAUUUACUGGGCGUAAAGGGCGCGUAGGCGGCCAGCACAAGUCAGUUGUGAAAUCUCCGAGCUUAACUCGGAAAGGUCAACUGAUACUGUGCGGCUAGAGUGCGGAAGGGGCAACUGGAAUUCUUGGUGUAGCGGUGAAAUGCGUAGAUAUCAAGAGGAACACCUGCGGCGAAGGCGGGUUGCUGGGCCGACACUGACGCUGAGGCGCGAAAGCCAGGGGAGCGAACGGG
rnacentral:rRNA from 1 species